UUAAGCGACUAAGCGUACACGGUGGAUGCCCUGGCAGUCAGAGGCGAUGAAGGACGUGCUAAUCUGCGAAAAGCGCCGGCGAGGUGAUAUGAACCCUUGACCCGGCGAUGUCCGAAUGGGGAAACCCAGUGCAAUCCGUUGCACUAUCGUUAACUGAAUACAUAGGUUAACGAGGCGAACCGGGGGAACUGAAACAUCUAAGUACCCCGAGGAAAAGAAAUCAACCGAGAUUCCCCCAGUAGCGGCGAGCGAACGGGGAGCAGCCCAGAGUCUGAAUCAGCUUGUGUGUUAGUGGAAGCGUCUGGAAAGUCGCACGGUACAGGGUGAAAGUCCCGUACACGAAAGCACACAGGCUGUGAACUCGAAGAGUAGGGCGGGACACGUGGUAUCCUGUCUGAAUAUGGGGGGACCAUCCUCCAAGGCUAAAUACUCCUGACUGACCGAUAGUGAACCAGUACCGUGAGGGAAAGGCGAAAAGAACCCCGGCGAGGGGAGUGAAAAAGAACCUGAAACCGUGUACGUACAAGCAGUGGGAGCACCUUCGGGUGUGACUGCGUACCUUUUGUAUAAUGGGUCAGCGACUUAUAUUCUGUAGCAAGGUUAACCGUAUAGGGGAGCCGAAGGGAAACCGAGUCUUAACUGGGCGUUAAGUUGCAGGGUAUAGACCCGAAACCCGGUGAUCUAGCCAUGGGCAGGUUGAAGGUUGGGUAACACUAACUGGAGGACCGAACCGACUAAUGUUGAAAAAUUAGCGGAUGACCUGUGGCUGGGGGUGAAAGGCCAAUCAAACCGGGAGAUAGCUGGUUCUCCCCGAAAGCUAUUUAGGUAGCGCCUCGUGAACUCAUCUUCGGGGGUAGAGCACUGUUUCGGCUAGGGGGCCAUCCCGGCUUACCAACCCGAUGCAAACUACGAAUACCGAAGAAUGUUAUCACGGGAGACACACGGCGGGUGCUAACGUCCGUCGUGAAGAGGGAAACAACCCAGACCGCCAGCUAAGGUCCCAAAAGUCAUGGUUAAGUGGGAAACGAUGUGGGAAGGCCCAGACAGCCAGGAUGUUGGCUUAGAAGCAGCCAUCAUUUAAAGAAAGCGUAAUAGCUCACUGGUCGAGUCGGCCUGCGCGGAAGAUGUAACGGGGCUAAACCAUGCACCGAAGCUGCGGCAGCGACGCUUAUGCGUUGUUGGGUAGGGGAGCGUUCUGUAAGCCGUUGAAGGUGGCCUGUGAGGGUUGCUGGAGGUAUCAGAAGUGCGAAUGCUGACAUAAGUAACGAUAAAGCGGGUGAAAAGCCCGCUCGCCGGAAGACCAAGGGUUCCUGUCCAACGUUAAUCGGGGCAGGGUGAGUCGACCCCUAAGGCGAGGCCGAAAGGCGUAGUCGAUGGGAAACAGGUUAAUAUUCCUGUACUUGGUGUUACUGCGAAGGGGGGACGGAGAAGGCUAUGUUAGCCGGGCGACGGUUGUCCCGGUUUAAGCAUGUAGGCGGAGGUUCCAGGUAAAUCCGGUACCUUUUAACGCUGAGGUGUGAUGACGAGGCACUACGGUGCUGAAGUAACAAAUGCCCUGCUUCCAGGAAAAGCCUCUAAGCAUCAGGUAACACGAAAUCGUACCCCAAACCGACACAGGUGGUCAGGUAGAGAAUACCAAGGCGCUUGAGAGAACUCGGGUGAAGGAACUAGGCAAAAUGGUGCCGUAACUUCGGGAGAAGGCACGCUGAUAUGUAGGUGAAGCCCCUGCGGGUGGAGCUGAAAUCAGUCGAAGAUACCAGCUGGCUGCAACUGUUUAUUAAAAACACAGCACUGUGCAAACACGAAAGUGGACGUAUACGGUGUGACGCCUGCCCGGUGCCGGAAGGUUAAUUGAUGGGGUUAGCGGUAACGCGAAGCUCUUGAUCGAAGCCCCGGUAAACGGCGGCCGUAACUAUAACGGUCCUAAGGUAGCGAAAUUCCUUGUCGGGUAAGUUCCGACCUGCACGAAUGGCGUAAUGAUGGCCAGGCUGUCUCCACCCGAGACUCAGUGAAAUUGAACUCGCUGUGAAGAUGCAGUGUACCCGCGGCAAGACGGAAAGACCCCGUGAACCUUUACUAUAGCUUGACACUGAACACUGGUCCUUGAUGUGUAGGAUAGGUGGGAGGCUUUGAAGCGUGGACGCCAGUCUGCGUGGAGCCGACCUUGAAAUACCACCCUUUAAUGGCUGGUGUUCUAACGUAGACCCGUAAUCCGGGUUGCGGACAGUGUCUGGUGGGUAGUUUGACUGGGGCGGUCUCCUCCCAAAGAGUAACGGAGGAGCACGAAGGUUAGCUAAUCCUGGUCGGACAUCAGGAGGUUAGUGCAAUGGCAUAAGCUAGCUUGACUGCGAGAGUGACGGCUCGAGCAGGUGCGAAAGCAGGUCAUAGUGAUCCGGUGGUUCUGAAUGGAAGGGCCAUCGCUCAACGGAUAAAAGGUACUCCGGGGAUAACAGGCUGAUACCGCCCAAGAGUUCAUAUCGACGGCGGUGUUUGGCACCUCGAUGUCGGCUCAUCACAUCCUGGGGCUGAAGUAGGUCCCAAGGGUAUGGCUGUUCGCCAUUUAAAGUGGUACGCGAGCUGGGUUUAGAACGUCGUGAGACAGUUCGGUCCCUAUCUGCCGUGGGCGCUGGAGAAUUGAGGGGGCUGCUCCUAGUACGAGAGGACCGGAGUGGACGCAUCACUGGUGUUCGGGUUGUCAUGCCAAUGGCACUGCCCGGUAGCUAAAUGCGGAAGAGAUAAGUGCUGAAAGCAUCUAAGCACGAAACUUGCCCCGAGAUGAGUUCUCCCUGAGACUUAAAGUCUCCUGAAGGAACGUUGAAGACGACGACGUUGAUAGGUCGGGUGUGUAAGCGCAGCGAUGCGUUGAGCUAACCGAUACUAAUGAACCGUGAGGCUUAACCUU
rnacentral:rRNA from 1 species